rnacentral:rRNA from 1 species
UUAAUUCGAAGCAACGCGAAGAACCUUACCAAAUCUUGACAUCCUUUGACAACUCUAGAGAUAGAGCCUUCCCCUUCGGGGGACAAAGUGACAGGUGGUGCAUGGUUGUCGUCAGCUCGUGUCGUGAGAUGUUGGGUUAAGUCCCGCAACGAGCGCAACCCUUAAGCUUAGUUGCCAUCAUUAAGUUGGGCACUCUAAGUUGACUGCCGGUGACAAACCGGAGGAAGGUGGGGAUGACGUCAAAUCAUCAUGCCCCUUAUGAUUUGGGCUACACACGUGCUACAAUGGACAAUACAAAGGGCAGCGAAACCGCGAGGUCAAGCAAAUCCCAUAAAGUUGUUCUCAGUUCGGAUUGUAGUCUGCAACUCGACUACAUGAAGCUGGAAUCGCUAGUAAUCGUAGAUCAGCAUGCUACGGUGAAUACGUUCCCGGGUCUUGUACACACCGCCCGUCACACCACGAGAGUUUGUAACACCCGAAGCCGGUGGAGUAACCUUUUAGGAGCUAGCCGUCGAAGGUGGGACAAAUGAUUGGGGUGAAGUCGUAACAAGGUAGCCGUAUCGGAAGGUGCGGCUGGAUCACCUCCUUU